rnacentral:rRNA from 1 species
CCCUUAGAUGUUCUGGGCCGCACGCGCGCUACACUGAUGCAUGCAACAAGUCUUUUCCUUGGCCGAGAGGCCUGGGCAAUCUUUGAAUAUGCAUCGUGAUGGGGAUAGACGAUUGCAAUUAUUCGUCUUCAACGAGGAAUCCCUAGUAAGUGCAGGUCAUCAGCUUGCGCUGAUUACGUCCCUGCCCUUUGUACACACCGCCCGUCGCUGCCCGGAACUGAGCCAUUUCGAGAAAAAUGGGGACAGACUGCUUGUGGGUGCGCAAGCACUUCUUGCAGAUUGAAACCAUCUUGAUCGGUAUGGCUUGAACCGGGCAAAAGUCGUAACA